rnacentral:tRNA from 1 species
GCCGAGGUAGCUCAGUCGGUAGAGCAGCGGACUGAAAAUCCGCGUGUCCCCAGUU